AUUGAACGCUGGCGGCAGGCCUAACACAUGCAAGUCGAGCGGAGCGGCGGACGCGUGAGUAAUGCCUAUGACUCUGCCUGGUAGUGGGGGAUAACGUCCGGAAACGGGCGCUAAUACCGCAUACUAUCAGAUUAGCCUAGGUCGGAUUAGCUAGUUGGUGGGGUAAAGGUCUACCAAGGCGACGAUCCGUAACUGGUCUGAGAGGAUGAUCAGUAACACUGGAACUGAGACACGGUCCAGACUCCUACGGGAGGCAGCAGUGGGGAAUAUUGGACAAUGGGCGAAAGCCUGAUCCAGCCAUGCCGCGUGUAUGAAGAAGGCCUUCGGGUUGUAAAGUACUUUCAGCGAGGAGGCGUUACUCGCAGAAGAAGCACCGGCUAACUCCGUGCCAGCAGCCGCGGUAAUAC
rnacentral:rRNA from 1 species